rnacentral:rRNA from 1 species
UACGGAGGGUGCAAGCGUUAUCCGGAUUCACUGGGUUUAAAGGGUGCGUAGGUGGGCAGGUAAGUCAGUGGUGAAAUCUCCGGGCUUAACCCGGAACUGCCGUUGAUACUAUCUGUCUUGAAUGUGUGGAGGUGAGCGGAAUAUGUCAGUGUAGCGGUGAAAUGGCUUAGAUAAUGACAUAGAACAUCGAUUGCGAAAGGCAGCUC